CCUACACCGGAAUUGAAAUCGAAAUUUCUUUAAGAAGAAAUUCCAAUAGAAAGUUCCAAAUUCC
rnacentral:sRNA from 1 species